GUGGGGAAUAUUCCGCAAUGGACGAAAGUCUGACGGAGCAACGCCGCGUGAGUGAUGAAGGUUUUCGGACUGUAAAGCUCUGUUGUUUAGGACGAAAGUGCCUGUUGCAAAUAGUUACAGGUAUUGACGGUACUGAACGAGGAAGCCACGGCUAACUACGUGCCAGCAGCCGCGGUAAUACGUAGGUGGCAAGCGUUGUCCGGCAUUAUUGGGCGUAAAGAGCAUGUAGGCGGGAAUCUAAGUCUGUUGUGAAAAUGCGGGGCUCAACCCCGUAUUGCGAUGGAAACUGGGUUUCUUGAGUGCAGGAGAGGAAAGGGGAAUUCCCAGUGUAGCAGUGAAAUGCGUAGAUAUUGGGAGGAACACCAGUGGCGAAGGCGCCUUUCUGGACUGUGUCUGACGCUGAGAUGCGAAAGCCAGGGGAGCAAACGGGAUUAGAAACCCUGGUAGUCC
rnacentral:rRNA from 1 species